GGUGUAGGAUUGUGUGUGUGUGUUCUCCUUCUACCAUGUAGGUCCAGAGGUUUUCAGGCUUGGCAGAAACUGCCUAAAUCUUUCCUGCCCUUCCCACCUUAGGACUACAAGGACUACAAAUGUGCAUGAGAUGCCACUCCCAGUCUCUGUGGUGCUGAGAAUGGACCCACGCCCCUGUGCAGGCUCAGCAGGGGCUCUACCAGCUGAACCGCUCCUGAACCGUCUUCCUGUGUCUUUUAAUUUCUUAAUAGCUUACUUAAGUGUGGAAUAAUUUUUUUUGUCUGAAUGUAGCAGUAGAUCUAUUCACUUCUUUGAGAAUAUGUUGGUUGUUUCUAAGUUUUGGCAGUUUAUCAUUGGUUAACCUUUAACUGCAUUAAGGGGCAGACUUAAGGACUGGAGACAUUGUGUGAGCUUUUCUAAACAGAUGACUAUCUCUUGGUGGGUAAACUUAAGGACUGGAGACAUUGUGUGAGCUUUCCUAUACAAUCAGAGAACUAUCUCUUAGUACACCUUGCAGUGAGGCAAAUUCUAGGUAAAGAACACAUUUACUUAACUUUUUACAACAGUGGUCAUUUUGAGCUACCACAAAUCUUACAGCGCCAGAUCCCCUUACAGAUGGUUGUGAGCCACCAUGUGGUUGUUGAAACUUGAACUCAGGACCUUUGGAAGAACAGCCAGUGCUCUUAACUAAUGAGCCACCUCUCCAGCCCCAGCAUGUUUUCUUAAUCUGUGCCUUGUAUUCUCAUUGUCUGGACCUUUUUUUUUUUUUUUCCAGAGCAUUUUUAAAAAUGCAAAACCUUUUUGAGCAUGAACACUAUGUUCAUAUCAUGGCUUCUAGCAUUCGUAUUGUUAUAUGUGCAUGCAGCCUACUGAGUUGAUUCUCUGCUGCUUCACAGCUGGGGAGGACUAUCGGUUGCUUGUCUUUCCUGGCAGCUCUCAUAGCACCUUCAGGUGCUAUGAGAGCCUGGUCCCUGGUCCCUAGUCAGGUCCAGCUCAGUUCCUCCUAGUCCUGUAUCUAAAGUCUCUGGUGUCUUCAGCAAUAUUUCGUACCUUUAGCUUCUAGGAGGCAGCCAAGGGCAUUCAUUGGCAGGAACCUGUAUUGUUCUGGGGAGUCUCUUAGACCCUUACCAACAGCUCAAAAGGAGAUUGAGGGAGCCUGUGUAAGAAAGCUGUGAACUAGGAUGGGGAAGGAUGCAGAUGUUGUACCACAAGGUGGCCUUCCAGAAAGAAUGGUAUACUUUGACAAGUGAAUGCAAUUGAGAGCAGGGACAUGAAGGGGAUGCCAUGGAGCACUGAGGAGCCUGGGCAAGGGCACAUGGUCUCUGUGGGAAAGGCAGAGGCCUGACAAGAAAUAUAUGUGGACCUUUUCACAUGAGCAAAGAUGACGACACACAACACCAGGUGUAUUCCCUCGCUUUACUUGUGUUUGCUUAAGCUAACUGUAAAUGUCACUUAUGUUUUAUUUGAGUAACUAAAAAUGAGAUGUGCUUUGUUCGUACUGACCUCAGACACCUGGAGCACCCUGGUAACUCCACUUAUUUCCAUUAAUUCAAGGAGACUUACUCUCAAUGGCUGGGGCAGGUCAACAAAGGUAGUCUGUGGUUGUUGUUGUUGUUGUUUUGCUUUGCUUUGCUUUCAUUUUCUUUUGUGUGCUUUGUAUAGGUUAGAAGUCAGUUUCUUUUUAUGUUGUUUGCUUGUUUGUUUGUUUGUUUGUUUGUUUGUUUUUCGAGACAGGGUUUCUCUGUGUAGCCCUGGCUGUCCUGGAGCUCACUUUGUA
rnacentral:lncRNA from 1 species